rnacentral:tRNA from 2 species
GCGGGCGUGGCGGAACUGGCAGACGCGCUAGAUUUAGGUUCUAGUAUCUUAAGGAUGUGGAGGUUCGACUCCUCUCGCCCGCA